ACGUACAAUUGUUGGCGCUGUGCGAACUUGGGCAAAGUUGAUGUCUACAGUAAUGAUGUCGUCACCACCGCCAUCCGGGUGAUUGGCUUCCAUGACUUCCAGUUGUGGGAAGUUGAGCGAAUAUUUACUGCCUUUGCUGUCUUUAAUAUCAAAGGCCAGUGUAAAUACAUCACGGGUUUUAAUGGCAUCAAUCCAACCAGCAGAUGUUGAAGAAAACAUGAAUGAAGCAUUUGCUUCGAUAUCCAUCAUCUUUUCAAUGUAGAACUCUGGUGUGUACUUGCCUGAGCCGAUACAACGGAUUGCUUCAAGGUUA
rnacentral:lncRNA from 1 species